AAAUCGGUACAUCCAGUAGAAAGUUAUGCGGUAUAAUACAACGUAGGUCGACCAAAAAAGCGUCAAGUAAAAACGCAUUAUUAGAUAUAACUCGAAAAGUAGUUGUUAGAUCUCAAAUAAAUUUAAAUGGGACCAAUUGGCACACACCACCUUUCGAUUAAAAAAAAAUUGUCGAAAUCGGUCCACACGGUCAAAAGUUCUGAUGUAACAUACAGAAAA
rnacentral:misc_RNA from 1 species